rnacentral:rRNA from 1 species
AGGAGGAAAGAUAUCUGACGGUACCUCCUGAAUAAGUGACAGCAAACUAUGUGCCAGCAGCUGCGGUAAUACAUAGGUCGCAAGCGUUAUUCGGAUUUAUUGGGCGUAAAGCAAGCGCAGGCGGAUGAAAAAGUUCUGUGUUAAAAGCAGCUGCUCAACAGUUGUUUGCACCGAAUACUGUUCAUCUAGAAUAUGGUAGGAAGUUUUGGAAUUAAAUAUGGAGCGGUGGAAUGUGUAGAUAUAUUUAAGAACACCAGAGGCGAAGGCGAAAACUUAGGCCAUUAUUGACGCUUAGGCUUGAAAGCGUGGGUAGCAAAUGGGAUUAGAUACCCCAGUAGUCCACGCCGUAAACGAUGGGUAUUAGGUGUUGGGUCUUGAGACUCAGUGCUGUAGCUUACGUGUUAAAUACCCCGCCUGGGUAGUACAUAUGCAAAUAUGAAACUCAAAGGAAUUGACGGGGACCUGAACAAGUGGUGGAACAUGUUGCUUAAUUCGAUAAUACACGAAAAACCUUACCAGGGUUUGACAUCCCUCGCAAAACUAUGGAAACAUAGCGGAGUUUAUCGAGGUGACAGGUGGUGCAUGGUUGUCGUCAGCUCGUGUCAUGAGAUGUUUGGUUAAGUCCCGCAACGAGCGCAACCCUACUCCUUAGUUGAUUGUCUAGGGAGACUGAACAGUAAUGUAUAGGAAGGUUGGGAUCACGUCAAAUCAUCAUGCCCCUUAUGCCCUGGGCUGCAAACGUGUUACAAU